CUCUCCCUUCCAGAGCACACAGAGAGGUGAUUUAUUUAGUUCCCUGUCUCUGACUCCACCCUACUUCAGGUGAUGGAGCCUCGAGUGUCAGGGAAUCUCUUAUUUAAUGACUAGAGGAUGAGCUGGAGUCAAGGGGCUUAAUGUACCUGGGUAAGGGGAAGGGCUUCUCCAAGGAAGCUUGAAGACUCAAGCAGCUAAGGUGAAAAUUCUUCAAUAGCUGAGAGAGAGUAAUAUCAAGCUAAGCCCCUGGGAGCAGUUCUGGUGUUUGUGUCCUUCUUAGCGAUCCUCAGCCACAGAGUUGAGUAAUUCCAGACAGAUUUCUACUUUGCUUUGAUAAGAGGAAGGAAACUGUCCAAGAUGAAAUAUCAUCCUGCAAGAUGCAUAUCACCGGUGCUAAGAGGCUCUGAGGUCCUGAGCCCCCCACCCUCCCACCCCAGCCUAGGCAGGCUGCC